GACGAACGCUGGCGGCGUGCUUAACACAUGCAAGUCGAACGGAAAGGCCCUGCUUUUGUGGGGUGCUCGAGUGGCGAACGUGUGAGUAACACGUGAGUAACCUGCCCUUGACUUUGGGAUAACUUCAGGAAACUGGGGCUAAUACCGGAUAGGAGCUCCUGCUGCAUGGUGGGGGUUGGACAGUUUCGGCGGUUGGGGAUGGACUCGCGGCUUAUCAGCUUGUUGGUGGGGUAGUGGCUUACCAAGGCUUUGACGGGUAGCCGGCCUGAGAGGGUGACCGGCCACAUUGGGACUGAGAUACGGCGCAGACUCCUACGGGAGGCAGCAGUGGGGAAUAUUGCACAAUGGGCGGAAGCCUGAUGCAGCAACGCCGCGUGCGGGAUGACGGCCUUCGGGUUGUAAACCGCUUUCGCCUGUGACGAAGCGUGAGUGACGGUAAUGGGUAAAGAAGCACCGGCUAACUACGUG
rnacentral:rRNA from 1 species